AACAAACGCUGGCGGCGUGCCUAAUACAUGCAAGUCGAACGGGGAAAGCUUUCGGGUGAGUACUAGUGGCGCACGGGUGAGUAACACGUGGGUAAUCUGCCUUCAAAUGGGGAACAACCAGUCGAAAGAUUGGCUAAUACCGCAUAAGACCACAGGAUCUGCGGAUCUAGGGGUUAAAGGAGUAAUUCGUUUGAAGAUGAGCCCGCGCGAGAUUAGCUAGUUGGUAGGGUAAUGGCCUACCAAGGCUACGAUCUCUAGCUGGUCUGAGAGGAUGAUCAGCCACACUGGAACUGAGACACGGUCCAGACUCCUACGGGAGGCAGCAGUAGGGAAUAUUGCGCAAUGGGGGAAACCCUGACGCAGCGACGCCGCGUGAGUGAUGAAGGACUUCGGUUCGUAAAGCUCUGUCGCAGGGGAAUAAAUUCGAAUGUACCCUGUAAGAAAGGAUCGGCUAACUUCGUG
rnacentral:rRNA from 1 species